CAGCAUCUGACAAAAGCAAGAAAGGGAAACAACGCUUAGGAAGAUCCCAAACCAAUUGCUGUAGGGACCUCCUACUCCCAUUUUCUUAAGGUACUUGUCACUUGAAGCUAACUCCAUGUCCCCAUUUUAUGCCUUAACCAUCCUUGUUAGUUCCCCCAACUUUGUCACUCAGCCUCACUGCAUCAGGAAUGCUGAACCCCUGGAUUCAAGGUCAGUUAGUUAUAAGCUGCUUGCAUGGUGCUCUGUCAUGAGCAUCCAAGGAGGUAGCUGGUGAUGUUUUUUUUCAUUUCACGUGCAGCAGAAGUCAGCUGCUGACAAGAUGCUGAACUAGCUGGGCCUGCAUAUUCUGGCAUCCCAAGAGCAAUGUUUCUGCUUACCUGGCCCACAGCUUGUCCCACCCCGCUGCUUAGCUACAGGUGAGGCAGAGCCAGACUUACCUUUGGGGUCCACCUGAGCCAGGUCCUUGCGUGGAGGAUAUUGCUACAAGGGGGAAAUCAGACACUCAGACAUGUUCCAGCUUCUCCCCCCCUCAGCUGCUAUUCUGUAAAGCAAGGCAACUGGACUAGUUAGAAGCCCAAACAUGGCAUACGGCUUGCAUGGAGUUAGCUGUGGAGCCAGGAUCUGGUCACAAUAAAAGUCCCAGCAUGCCCAGGGACAGACAUAGGCUGCUCAGCUACAUAUUUGCUAAUACAAUACAGUUCAGGUUUAUGGCAGUCAGAGCCACACACUGCUCAAUGACUCAUAUCCCAAAAAACCUACCUGGCUAGCAAUCGACUCAGAAGGUACUCAAGCAGGCACCACCAAGAAUCCCACAGGAGGAGUCAUCCAUACAUCAGUGGACUCCCCUCCGUCCCUAUCUUAUGCUGUCACUCACCGGAUGUUUGACAGAAAAGUUGAUGAUCAUGUAGCAGUUAUCCAGGACCUGCCAGGAUCGCAAUGUCACCACAUCUCUGUUCUUUAAGGGCUUUGGGCACUUCCCUGGCCAAGAAGGAAAGAGUCACUUCACCUCAUCCAGCAACAGAAGCUCCUGAAAGUGCAGUCCUGAGGAUGUGCCAUCCCAUUAAGGGGCUUCUAUCUUUCCUGCUGUUGCCUUUCAGGUGAGGUUAGCAGUCUGUGUCCUGCUACCAAUGCCUCCCAUAUCCCAUACUGGCCCCACUGGCACUAACUGGUCCCUUUGUUAGUAGCCUUAGCUGAGGGUCUCAGGAUGAACUGGGCACCAGGGAUCAAACGCCUUUUCGUGGUUAGAGAGCCCCAGGCAGUGCAAGCUAAGGUACACUGGUAGGGAGCAGGAUGCUAACUCUGUUGCUGCUCAGCACUGUUUAUUUCAGGCAUAUGUGGCGAAUUCAACCUCGGCCCCUUCCCACUCGGUAGAUUUGGUUGGAUGCUCCACUCAUUAGCAUGAGUUUUCAGUUGCCUGGUUGGUCCUACCACCUGCAAAGCUCAGCCACUCACUCACAGGCAUAGUAACCCACGUCAGCAUUGAUGGCAAGCUGGGCAAUGUCAUGUGUGUCAAUGACAUUCAGGUCCCACUUCCUGCGAUACUCAAUGUCAUGCAGCACGUCAUACACUGUCUCUGCUGGCACAUCUGAGACGUCCAGGCGGCACUGCAGGCAGAAGCACGACCACAGUCAGGACACUGGCUGGCCGCAUCCGCUUCUAUUCCACAUCCCACCCCAUCAGCACAGCUGGCUUGGACUAGAUCAGUGGUUCUCAACCUUGUUGAACUCCAGAGAGACCACCAAAAAAGGGGAAAGUUAAGACCUGGCCUUUUUUUUUUUUUUUUUUGGAUUAUGGAAAAAUAAAGGAUCAGUUUUACUGUUGUGCAGAACCCCGGGAAA